CUGAGACCAAACCCAUCUCAAUAUUUCAAACUCUCUUUCUCACUCUCUUCUCAAUAUUUCAAACCCACGGUUCAAAAAAACAAAAAUAAAAUUUCAAACCCAUUUCUCACUUGCCUCGCCUUGUUGUCACGGUGUGAAACACAAACAAAAGAAACCCACUUCUCUCUCGCCUCGCCGUCACAGUGAGGAUAUCUACGAUUUGAUCAAGCUUUUAACUUAGCUCCUGGCUCAGUUCCUUGCUCACCACAUAGAUUGAAAUCCCUAACCCAUGAACUCAGCUCCUUGCUCUCAUGCAUUCAAGCUCGUGGGUCAUGACUCAUGAGGCAUACAGGAUUCAAGCUCGAUCCCUCACCCAUGAACUCAGCUCCUAGCUCACCUUAGACUAUGGGUUUCCAAAUUUCUACAGGCAACGGAGCAGAGGCUACAGGAAGAGAGAGAAGAUGCUGCUCAUUUGCCUGGGGCAGUCUCUGGUGAUAAGUGGGAUGCUACUCUGCUUGAUGCUUCUUUUGUUGGCUAAAUAGGUGGGGGGAAAAUGGGUCAUUAGGUGGGUAGGUAUUAGUGGGAAAAUGCCAUAAUUUUGGUGUAUGUUGGUAGGUUUUGGUAGAAUGUUUGUGUUGGUAUGUGUUGGCCUGAAUUUGUGUUGGUAUGUAUUAGUGGAAAAAGGCCUGAAUUUUGGUAUAAUUCUCACUGUAAUUUGAGACUUUAGCAAUGGAACAUGGUUUUUUUAAUUAA